rnacentral:pre_miRNA from 1 species
AGGAGGAACAGCCCCAGUGGCGGGGCAGCUCUGGAAACCUGGAUUCAGCCCCCGCAGGAACUCUGGAGCUCUCCGUCUGCAGGCCCUGGAGGCUCCGGGGCGGG